GGGUGUAGCUCAGUGGUAGAGUGCAUGCUUAGCAUGCAUAAGGUCCUGGGUUCAAUCCCUAGUACCUCCA
rnacentral:tRNA from 1 species